rnacentral:rRNA from 1 species
GAUGAACGCUAGCUACAGGCUUAACACAUGCAAGUCGAGGGACCGGCGCACGGGAGAGUAACCCGUAUCCAACCCGCCCUUUACUCGAGGAUAGCCUUUCGAAAGAAAGAUUAAUACCCGAUAUAAAGUAUGGGGAUGCGUUCCAUUAGGUUGUUGGUGAGGUAACGGCUCACCAAGCCUUCGAUGGAUAGGGGUUCUGAGAGGAAGGUCCCCCACAUUGGAACUGAGACACGGUCCACACUCCUACGUGAGGCAGCAGUGAGGAAGAUUGUUCAAUGGGCGCUAGCCUUAACCAGCCAAGGAGCAUGAAGCAUGAAGGCUUAUGGGUCGUAAACUUCUUUUAUAUAAGAAUAUGUAUUAUAUGAAUAAGGAUCGGCUAACUCCGUGCCAGCCGCCGCGGUAAUUC